AUUGAUUUGUCAAAUCAUUUUUAUUAGCCUAUUUAAAUAAGCGGUUGCUUAAUUGACACAAAUAUGAGUUUAUGAUUGAGUGAUAGUAGGGCUUUUUUAACCUUUAUUUAUCAUUUUUAUAAUAAAUCGCGUGGGUAUGACCACACCCCGGUGACAAGUGCGUUAGCCUCGACUAGCCGGCUAAGCUAACAGCUGGUUUAUUUACUUAUCUCAUUUAUUUAAGAACUGACUGCGGACUGGGGAGGUUUUAAUAAAUCGUUACCUCAUCUCCAGAGUUAAACUCCUCCAUCGUUAUUGUCGUAGAAACACCUCCUGUCUUCUAUAUUUCCUCUUUUGUUAUUGUUCCUGUUUAGCUCCUCUUCCUGAGAGACAACGAGCACAAACAAGACGAAUCUACGGCCGGAAACUGGGCGUCGAUUCUUACUUUGUCGCCCCACUGUGGUUGAAUUUAGACACGACAAGGCCAAACCAGGCCACUCACAUUUUGUCUUUCUUUGUGAUGAUUUUGAGAAUCUUAAGAGUCAUUCCGAUUAAUUUUUUGUCGUGAUAAUUUGUGUCUUUGGGGUCAUUUUGAGCAUUUUAUGAUCUAUUUUUUUUUUCGACUUGGACAGACACUAUUUGUAUUUUUAUGUAAUUUCCAUGCAAUGGCUCAGGAUAUUAUAUACAGUAUAUAUACAGUGUAUGAUUUUAAAUUAAAUUUAAAUAAAUUUAUUGCAUAGUACUGUUUAUAGGGAAAAAGAUUGCACAACAACAGCACAGAGGUGAAAGUGGAGCAGUCCUGAGUGGAAGUGUGUGGCUGAGGAGGAUGGAAAGUUCAGGAGUCUUAUGGCAUGCUGUUAUUAACAGACACUGUCAUUGAAUCUGUUUUUCUCCGUAGGCUGUGGAACCGCCUUUAGGGUAUCUGGGGACAGUCCCCUGUUUGUGGAUGACCUGUCCCUGAAAAUAUCCCAGAUUUUAGCUUUUAAUUAAUGAGAAAAAAACAAAUGUUGCGUGCCAACUAUAACAGCAGUUAUUACAGCAGUCACUCACGCUGCUAUUUACAUUAUAGACAUAGCAGUUUAAAUAUGUGAAAAUAAAUAAAACCAUAAUUGCGUUUCUUCAUUUCAUCUUGAUAACACUUAAUUCUUUUUAAUUCCCCAUCUGUAAAUGUCACUGGAUCUCCUUUCAGAAAUGUGGUCACCUUAGUUUAUUUUUUAUUAAUAUUUAUUUUAUUUUUUGGGGGACUCAAAUCUAUGCAUAUAGCUAUUUAUUUUUCAUUGAGAGAUACACAGGACAUUAACAAAUUAACAUACAUACACACUUAACUUAUUCAUUCAAGCUACCCAGUUACAUAUUCAUUUUUUCUUCCAAACUAUUAAAUAAAUGACAGUAGGGAAUUCCAUAAUACAUAAUGUAUAACCCGUUCCUGUAAACCCUUGUGGAGCCCAGUACUACAGUGAGAUCUGUGUUCCUGGACAUAUUUCUCCUUUAAUUGUGUUGUUUAGUCAAUAUAACAUUCAAAUGAUAAGAUAAAACGAUAAAAUGGCUGUUGCUUUGGCAGUAAUGCUUGUUUUGCAGUUCUCUUGGAGGUGUUCUUACAACAAGCUGCAGAAACGAUCUUCCCCCAUGAUGAAGGGAUCAGAUAUUUUCCCCAAGGCUCAUCAGUUGAUACCCUCAAAUAUAUUUGGCAGCAAAGAGAGGCCAGGGGGACGUCUCAACACCCCCUCUCUGAGGCACUCGGGGAGAGUGUGUGUAUUUAUUUCUCGCAGCUGUUUCUUUCAUUCAUUUUGCAUGUGAGAUAAAAAAAACAACAACAACCAUAUUAUCGUUUUAUGAUGUGACAGACUGACAAAUACUGUUAGUCAUGAUGGAAGUGGUGCAGUGAGAUGCUAUUAAAAUGAAUUCACGACCUAAAAUACACCGCAGCGAGUUUCUCGUCACAGUCGAUGGCGUAGUGCAUGCUGCGUUUAAAACCAAAAUCAAUCACAAUCAGUGUAGUUUAGUACAUUUCCUUGCAUUUGUUGGAUCCGACGGUAGGGGGUGAUAUUUUAGUUUGUCAAACUUUAUAAAACUUUAUAGUGACUGACUGUUUUAAUAUGCACAUCUCAUUUAAGGUAUCUGUGUUCAAACCUAGCAUUAAAAUGGUCUCUUGAGCCACCAUUCGAUCACUCAGUAUGCAAAUGAAUAGCCACAUCAUUUGGGGUGCAAUAGAGUAUUAUAAAAACUGCCCUCUUUAAUAGAUCGUUACCUAACGUUGUUUCAGAACCACGAACAGGGCUGUUUGUUGUGUGUUGUCACGUUUAAUCAAGUACCAGAUGAGUCACAAUCACACUAGUAAAUCCUCAGCUAUGCAGAGCUGUAGCAUUGUGAGAUGAACGUGUCAAUGGGUCCUUCAUGUGUUACUUCAUCACUUUGACAGACGACAGCACUAAUAGGUGCCAGCAUCUCUGGAAGCUUCCCCUUAAAUCCAGUGUGCAUGGUUUGGCUCUGAGAUGCACUGUCAGCUGUUCAAGUGUUUCACAUUGUUUGGGCAACCCAAUAGUAUGAAUGCAGUGCCAACAAAUUAAAUGGCCAAUAUUGGUCAUUAUUAUGACAAAGUGACUAUGACAAAGUGACAAUGUUUAUGGUGCAAUCUGGUACAAAAAAAAUAUUCAGAGCUUAUCAUAAAUUUUACAGCAUCAUCUAUCUCAGCUGCCAUUGGGCUAGAGAUGAGGUUCACCCUGGGCAGGUCACUAGUCUUUUACAGGGUUAACACAAAGAGAGGCUAGCAUUCAUAUCUUUGGAAAGUAGAAAGCCAAAGCAAGCAUGCAAACUAUGCACCGAAAGACCUCAACUCGCUGCACCACUGCAGAGCCCUAGAGCUGAGCAUGGUGAGUGACAUGAAAGAUGAUGAGUCAAGAACAGUAACAGUAUAAUAGACAAUACACUUUGUAAAACUGAGCAUGGCAGUAGAUAUAUUUUAAUUUGACCUAUUUUUUUUUAUUUUGUAUACUUCACCAAACUAUUAAACCAGUACACAUAUUAUAAUAUUUAUUAUCCACUAGUGUACAGUCCAAGUGUCAAACAUUUUCCCUCCAGGUCCAUAAAUAUUAAACAAUCCUUUUGUAUCUUUAUGACUCAUUCAGUUAUUACAUUUAACAUGUCAGCUUAGCUUUAAGUUGUAUGAUUUUUUUUUUUUUUAACAUGUUUUGAGAGUAGCUUCCAAGCACGUGUCCACUAAUUUAUAACAGACACAUUUGCAUGGCUUACUUUAAGCGCUAUUUCAUUACGAUACAUGUCUGUCGCCUACUUGUAAUGUUAAUCUUACUGGAACGCGACAUGGCGCUGACUGUGGUCUUGGAGGAGCAUGUGGAUGUAACUGGCAUACAGUUGCAAGACAGGCACACAUCCCAGAUGUCCAAAAUAAAAUGAAGACUGAGUGCCAUUACAUAAAAUCUGAUGAGGGAUAAUAUUUAUCUUGGAAAAGAAUGGACAGCACAUUGCCAUCUAGGCUGGGAUAAAACCCAAAAUAAGUCCUGGGUCAACAAACGUGACGUAAGAGAUGCCUGAACAGUAAUAGCAGCAUGAAUGAAAAUCCAAUCUAGUAGUAGUGGGAGUUAGAAUUUAUUGAGUGAGCAAUUGAAAGUGGAUAGUACUUUCAUUCAGUCUAAAUAACAAGUGUUCAGUGUGAUAUUCAGGUUAUGGUCUUUGUAUGUCAUAAGUCAACAAACCUUGUUAUACAUAAAUAGAUUACACACCAUUUUUGCAGAGGGAGAUGACUGUGACAUUAGCUCAAGAUUAGUACAAUUUAUUAGUAUCAACACAUCAAAUAAAAUCUGUCCUUUUAUCUGUGUUCUUUUGACAGCAUGUUUUUAACAUUUUAUUUUCUAAAGCUCAGUCUGAGGCCACAAAUGGACAACCAGUUAGAGUACAAUGUGUGCACAAAUUGCAUCGACUCCAGGGUCCAACAACAACACCUUUACCUCUGGCCACUUCCUGAUUGCAACAAUAAUAGUGAUUUUGAAUUUUAGUGGUCACUUUACAUGUGCCACAUUAAAAACAUGAUAUGUUUUUGGAAGAAAAUAAGUUAAAGAAGUUGGCUGCAACCUCUGUCUCUCAUUGAUCAGGAGCUUCUUGACAGCCUUGUACGACCUUAAGCCAUGAUCUAAAAGUCAACCACGUACAGUGCAGGUGGAACACUGGACACCAGUUUGAUUUGACCACUGCUGUUGGAGCUCCUGUGAUGUCAUUCAGCGUUUUUUCCCUGCAUAUGCAGAUCAGGAUGUGGCCAUUUCUUGCAGAAGAAACCCUUGGAUGCCCAGAUCUUGGUUUGUCUUCCAAGCUGCUGGUUCGUCUGUAUUUCUGCAGAGUGUAUCCAACUGCUGAUGUACUGCAUCUUCACUUCCUGGUGAUCUGGUGGCAGCUGUACCAUACCUGGCUGAGAAUCUGUAUAUUCAGGAUCUAAUUGAGGAGCUAGAAGAUACAGUCACCACCUGAGCCUUGCUACCAGACAGGCUGCUGAAGCUCAGAAACAACUCAGAGAUGUCAAGGGACAGAAUCAUUUAAAUUACAAACUAAAAGUCUAAAUAAUACUGAAGGUUUACUGUUUUGGUUUGAUUUGUUGUCAGGAUGCAAGAAAUGCUGAGGAGAAAGCCAAGAAGGCCAUCAAUGAGUUUACAUCCCAAUAGCUGUGUAAUGUGUUUUUCUUGUAUGUUUUCAAUAAAGUGUGGUUACAAAACAGUUA